rnacentral:rRNA from 1 species
CCUACGGGAGGCUGCAGUGGGGAAUAUUGGACAAUGGGGGGAACCCUGAUCCAGCCAUGCCGCGUGUGUGAAGAAGGCCCUCGGGUUGUAAAGCACUUUCAGUGAGGAAGAACGCCUGGUGGUUAAUACCCAUCAGGAAAGACAUCACUCACAGAAGAAGCACCGGCUAACUCCGUGCCAGCAGCCGCGGUAAUACGGAGGGUGUGAGCGUUAAUCGGAAUUACUGGGCGUAAAGCGCGCGUAGGUGGCUUGAUAAGCCGGUUGUGAAAGCCCCGGGCUCAACCUGGGAACGGCAUCCGGAACUGUCAAGCUAGAGUGCAGGAGAGGAAGGUAGAAUUCCCGGUGUAGCGGUGAAAUGCGUAGAGAUCGGGAGGAAUACCAGUGGCGAAGGCGGCCUUCUGGACUGACACUGACACUGAGGUGCGAAAGCGUGGGUAGCAAACAGGAUUAGAUACCCGAGUAGUC